rnacentral:rRNA from 1 species
GUGGGGAAUAUUGGACAAUGGGCGCAAGCCUGAUCCAGCCAUGCCGCGUGUGUGAUGAAGGCCUUAGGGUUGUAAAGCACUUUCGCCGAUGAAGAUAAUGACUGUAGUCGGAGAAGAAGCCCCGGCUAACUUCGUGCCAGCAGCCGCGGUAAUACGAAGGGGGCUAGCGUUGUUCGGAAUUACUGGGCGUAAAGCGUACGUAGGCGGAUUGUUAAGUGAGGGGUGAAAUCCCGAGGCUCAACCUCGGAACUGCCUUUCAUACUGGCAAUCUUGAGUCCGGGAGAGGUGAGUGGAACUCCUAGUGUAGAGGUGAAAUUCGUAGAUAUUAGGAAGAACACCAGUGGCGAAGGCGGCUCACUGGCCCGGAACUGACGCUGAGGUACGAAAGCGUGGGGAGCAAACAGGAUUAGAUACCCGAGUAGUCC